UACGUAGGGUGCGAGCGUUGUCCGGAAUUAUUGGGCGUAAAGAGCUCGUAGGCGGUGUGUCACGUCGGCCGUGAAAACCUGCAGCUUAACUGUGGGCGUGCGGUCGAUACGGGCAUCACUGGAGUUCGGCAGGGGAGACUGGAAUUCCUGGUGUAGCGGUGAAAUGCGCAGAUAUCAGGAGGAACACCUGCGGCGAAGGCGGGUUGCUGGGCUGACACUGACGCUGAGGCGCGAAAGCUAGGGGAGCGAACGGG
rnacentral:rRNA from 1 species